GUCGGGCAUAGUGUCGUGUGCCUGUAGUCCCAGCUACUCUGGAAGCUGAGGUAGGAGGAUCACUUUAGCCCAGGAGUUCAGAGACUGCAGUGACCUACGAUCACACCACUGCACUCCAGCCUGGCCAACACAGUGGGAUCCAGUCUCUU
ensembl:misc_RNA Metazoa_SRP Metazoan signal recognition particle RNA